rnacentral:rRNA from 1 species
GAAGGCCCCGAGCGUUAUCCGGAUUUAUUGGGCGUAAGAGUUCAACGGCGGCAAGAAAAGUCAGGGGUGAAAGCUCGAGGCUCAACCUCGAAGACGCGCCUGAAACUUUCUUGCUUGAGUACGGGAGAGGCAGACGGAAUUGCCGGUGUAGUAGUAAAAUGCGUUAAUAUCGGCAAGAACACCAAUUGCGAAGGCAGUCUGCUAGAACGUAACUGACGCUAUAUGAACGAAAGCGUGGGUAGCGAAUGGGGGAUUAGAUACCCCAGUAGUCCACGCCGUAAACGUUGGGCACUAGGUGUUGGGAGUUUCGACCCCUCUCAGGACCGUUUAAGCUAACGCAUUAAGUGCCCCGCCUGGGGAGUACGGCCGCAAGGCUA